AGUCUGCAUAAUUGUUUAAUAAACCGAUCUCUCCGGGACUUGAAACCUGGAUUUCCUGUAAUCUGCAAUAAAUUGCAUAGUCUGGGAUUUGAAUCCCAGACCUGGAUGUAGAAGCCUUUAAACCUUAACCAAUAGGCUCCGGUGCUUCCACAAACAUUGUUAUUCAUUUUGGGAUAUUCCGUAAUUAAGUAACUUGCCACCAACAGCAUAUGUGUAUUCUUUGUGUGUUUAAAGCAUAUAUUUGUGGUAUUAUGAUUAUAUAUUGACAAUAUCAGUAUUGUCAUAUGUAUAAAUAAUAAAUAAAUAACUGUAUAUAUACGAUAUGCUAAUGAGAUAUACGCGUGAAAUAAUGAAUCUUUUUAAAAGGGGUUGGAUUUUUAUUUGAUUAGUAAAAGCAAAAGAUGACUUUGAAAAAAUCAAGUAGUAACUAGUAAGUCGGCAUCUUGAUAGAUAGAUAACAAUUCACGUGGUAAUAAAAUGGAACAAUCUUUAUCAAUAAUUAAUGAGAGAGAUUUUGAGUUUUGUAUCCCAUUCUCUCUCUUCCUUCGGCUAUAAAAAGGCCCGGCAGGUCUCAGUUUCUUCCCACAUCCAAAGAUAGAAAGAUGUAAGGUCUAGAGUCUUGCCUUAAUUCCCUAAUAAAACAUAUAAGGUAGCUAGAUUUAUCGGUUAAAUCGCUUGUUUUUGACAAGCUAAUGUUUCAUGACUCAAGUCACAUGCGUAUAAUAUAUCAAAGUUGGACUUAUACAAAGGCCUAUAACUAGGUGCGGCCAAUCAACUAGGGCAUACACUCAAAUAUUACACAAAGAGAGACAGGACUACAGAAAGUUUGAGAACUUGUAUGCCGAAACAAACGAUCCGGACUGAGUUGCAAAAACGACAUCAAAAGUUGUACUUCAUUUCUCAUAAAUAUAGAAAAUUUGAAACAUAAGAAUACAGAAAAUUUGGAUUGAUUAGCUAAGUGAUUAAAGAUGUGAGAUAUAGUUUAUAGCCUGUAUAAUGUCACUGAUAUCUAUAUAAGAAUUAGCGGCAGUCAAAUGUCUUCCCCUA